rnacentral:lncRNA from 1 species
CGUCAUGCUCGAGCUCUCCUCAUGUGAAAUUUUCGUGUCAACAUCAGAUUAAUUGAAAAUAAAACAGAUCAUGGCUCAUUUUUAUUCUCAGCUAUCUGUAAUCACCACAUAGCACAAAUUAAUAUCCUAGGCACAUAGGAGAAGAGGAACACUUAUUUGAAAACACAUGUGGGAUAUGAGACGUUAUUAUAGUUGAUUCAUAAUUCCAUCAAAGAUGGCCUGACCUCAAUUUAUG